CUACGGGAGGCUCCAGUGAGGAAUAUUGGUCAAUGGGCGUAAGCCUGAACCAGCCAAGUAGCGUGAAGGAUGACUGCCCUCUGGGUUGUAAACUUCUUUUAUAGGGGAAUAAAGUGCGUCACGUGUGAUGUUUUGUAUGUACCCUACGAAUAAGGACCGGCUAACUCCGUGCCAGCAGCCGCGGUAAUACGGAGGGUCCGAGCGUUAUCCGGAUUUAUUGGGUUUAAAGGGUGCGCAGGCGGGAUGUUAAGUCAGUUGUGAAAGUUGGACGCUCAACGUUCAAAUUGCAAUUGAAACUGGCAUUCUUGAGUGCAGUGGAGGUAAGCGGAAUUCGUGGUGUAGCGGUGAAAUGCUUAGAUAUCACGAAGAACUCCGAUUGCGAAGGCAGCUUGCUAUACUGCAACUGACGCUCAUGCACGAAGGUGUGGGUAUCAAACAGGAUUAGAUACCCUAGUAGUC
rnacentral:rRNA from 1 species